UACGUAGGGUGCAAGCGUUGUCCGGAAUUAUUGGGCGUAAAGAGCUUGUAGGCGGUUUGUCGCGUCUGCCGUGAAAAUUCGAGGCUCAACCUCGAACUUGCGGUGGGUACGGGCAGACUAGAGUGUGGUAGGGGAGACUGGAAUUCCUGGUGUAGCGGUGGAAUGCGCAGAUAUCAGGAGGAACACCGAUGGCGAAGGCAGGUCUCUGGGCCACUACUGACGCUGAGAAGCGAAAGCAUGGGGAGCGAACAGG
rnacentral:rRNA from 1 species